rnacentral:ribozyme from 1 species
ACCUUCAAAACUCCGAUCUCUUACCUCCACGUGGUGUCAGCUGGAAUGUGAACGUCAUACUUUGGUGUACACGACGUUCAUAUACAGAAAGAGACGG